rnacentral:rRNA from 1 species
UACGUAGGGCGCAAGCGUUGUCCGGAAUUAUUGGGCGUAAAGAGCUCGUAGGCGGCCUGUUGCGUCCGCUGUGAAAUCCCGGGGCUUAACCCCGGGCUUGCAGUGGAUACGGGCAGGCUGGAGGCAGGCAGGGGAGAACGGAAUUCCCGGUGUAGCGGUGAAAUGCGCAGAUAUCGGGAGGAACACCAGAGGCGAAGGCGGCGAACUGGACAGUGACUGACACUCAACUACGAAAGCGUGGGGAGCAAACAGG